AGAAAAGUAUUUAAAAUUAUAAAAUCUAAUUUGCAAUUAGAAAUUGAUCUAUCCUUUUCUA
rnacentral:tRNA from 1 species